CUUUCCCUCUUUCUCUCCUGCAGACGAUGGGCCCUACUCCAAAGGAGGCAAGGACGCAGGAGGGGCCGACGUUUCCCUGGCGUGCCGCAGACAGAGCAUUCCAGGUAAUGAGGCUUCCCUCAUUCCCUCUUUUUCUGCCCUGGAGGCACAGAGAGCCCUAGGUGGGGGUCAGAUGGCAACGGCUCUGCCACUGACUUGCUCUGUGACCUUAGACCAGCCACUUAACCUCUCUGAUUCUCCUCUGUAAAAAGGAGGUGAUCAUCACCCAGGGCAAUGCAGCAGAGUGCCCUACCAACCAGAGGAGUUCCGAGGGAUCACUGUGGUGGAGCUGAUCAAGAAAGAAGGCAGCACGCUGGGCCUGACUAUCUCAGGUGGCACCGACAAGGAUGGAAAGCCCAGGGUCUCCAACCUGAGACCUGGGGGACUUGCAGCCAGGAGUGAUCUGCUGAACAUUGGUGACUAUAUUCGGUCUGUGAACGGGAUCCACCUGACCAGGCUCCGCCACGAUGAGAUCAUCACCCUGCUCAAGAAUGUGGGCGAGCGCGUGGUGCUGGAGGUGGAGUAUGAGCUGCCCCCGCCCGGUGGGUGCCCUUGGACGGGGAACUUUCUCCACUGCCUCGGUUG
rnacentral:lncRNA from 1 species